UACAGAGGUCUCAAGCGUUGUUCGGAUUCAUUGGGCGUAAAGGGUGCGCAGGCUGUGGUGUAAGUCGAGUGUGAAAUCUCGGGGCUCAACCCCGAAAUUGCACUCGAUACUGCAUCACUAGAGGACUGUAGAGGAGAGUGGAAUUCACGGUGUAGCAGUGAAAUGCGUAGAUAUCGUGAGGAAGACCAGUUGCGAAAGCGACUCUCUGGGCAGUUCCUGACGCUCAUGCACGAAGGCCAGGGGAGCAAAC
rnacentral:rRNA from 1 species